CCAGGUUUAAGUUGUCCUGCUACAAAUUUUCUUAAAGCAAGUCGACAUAGAGUAACUUAUUAAAAAAAAACUCUUCUAGAUCGAGGUAAAGAUAAAAGCUCCGCGAAACGAGCCCUAUAAAAUGAUCUAUUGAUUAAUGACAAGUGAUCACAAUUCAAGGCGAGCCAUCACUUGAAAUACACUUCAAUAUUAUUCAUAAAUAGCCUCGAAUAUCACCUAAACAGAUCUCAGCAGCGUCUGCCCUGUCAAGAUGAUUAAGAAGUGCUUAGACGGCGAGUUGUUUAGUUAAAAUUAGCAUUUCUGCAUAAUUCAACACCAACAAAAAAAGGUUCGAUGAUACGGAAGAACAAAGAAACUAGUGAAAAUUGACUAUGAAACAUUCGUUAACCAACUGAAAACGACUGCCCUCUUUGAAAUGGGAUCUUUUUGCACCGUAAAAAUACAAUCUCCCCUGUAAAUUCAUGGCUAGUUAAUCAGAAAUGACAGCCGCAACAGAGGAAAAAGCAACAGAGAGUUGAAACCAGAAAUAUGGCUUCAAAAGCCGACACAAUUUUGAAAAGAAAAUCGUUUAUAAACCAUAGAUGCAAGGUGAAUUUCCACUUCCACCGCAACCCGGCAGCGGUCUUGAACUUCCACCGCCCACUACCGAUCCUGUUAAGCCUCUUAAACAAGUACAUAAAACUCCAAGACUUCUUCUCCAUAAUAUGUAAUAUAAUCUCGAUUUUGAUGGGUAUUUUGUGGAUUGGGGAUUGGUAACAGGAGGAAGUUGGGAUUUGAAUUUAAUUUUGAAGAAGAAAACAGAGGACUUAUAGCAAUAGGGAGGCAGUAUCUGGGUUAGUGGGUUUUAAAGUGGAUUCAUUCAUCGGUUGCGAUCUGGCCUUGAAAUAUUCGUUUCAGAUUAAAUUACUUGGCUAUAAAGAGGGAAAACAAAAGGAGAAGGAAU
rnacentral:lncRNA from 1 species